GUGCUGUGUGAUGCGGAGCGAAAUAAAGUAGUGAAGUGUCCGGAGGACCUGUCGAGAAAAGCCGCUAUAGUGUGAUAUCUGCCCGUACCGUAAACCGACACAGGUGGAUGAGGAGAGAAUCCUAAGGCCGACGGAAGAAGCAUUGCUAAGGAACUCGGCAAAAUGUACCCGUAACUUCGGGAUAAGGGUAGCCUUCAUGUAUGAGUACAUGAAGGCCGCAGAGAAGAGGCUCAAGCAACUGUUUAGCAAAAACACAGGUCUAUGCGAAACCGAAAGGUGAAGUAUAUGGGCUGACGCCUGCCCGGUGCUGGAAGGUUAAGAGGAGAGGUUAGAGCAAUCGAAGCUUUGAAUUUAAGCCCCAGUAAACGGCGGCCGUAACUAUAACGGUCCUAAGGUAGCGAAAUUCCUUGUCGGGUAAGUUCCGACCCGCACGAAAGGCGUAAUGAUUUGAGUACUGUCUCGGCAAUGCAUCCGGUGAAAUUGAAGUGCCAGUGAAGAUGCUGGCUACCCGCGCCAGGACGGAAAGACCCCAUGGAGCUUUACUCCAGCUUGAUACUGGGAUCCGGUAUUGUAUGUACAGGAUAGGUGGGAGGCUAAGAAGUGAUGACGUCAGUUGUCAUGGAGCCGCUGUUGGGAUACCACCCUUACCGUACUGGAUUUCUAACCAUGGACCGUGAAACCGGUCCGGGGACAAUGUCUGGCGGGGAGUUUGACUGGGGCGGUCGCCUCCGAAAGAGUAUCGGAGGCGCUCAAAGGUUCCUUCAGGAUGGACGGAAACCAUCCGAAGAGUGCAAAGGCAUAAGGGAGCCUGACUGUGACACCGACGGGUGGAACAGGUACGAAAGUAGGACUUAGUGAUCCGGUGGCAGAACGUGGGAUUGCCAUCGCUCAACGGAUAAAAGCUACCCUGGGGAUAACAGGCUUAUCACUCCCAAGAGUUCACAUCGACGGAGUGGUUUGGCACCUCGAUGUCGGCUCAUCACAUCCUGGGGCUGUAGCAGGUCCCAAGGGUUGGGCUGUUCGCCCAUUAAAGUGGUACGCGAGCUGGGUUCAGAACGUCGUGAGACAGUUCGGUCCCUAUCCGGCGCGGGCGUAGGAUAUCUGAGAGGAGCUGUCCUUAGUACGAGAGGACCGGGAUGGACGGACCGCUGGUGUAUCUGCUGCGAAGGCAAUCGCAUAAGGCAGGGUAGCCAAGUCUGGCAGGGAUAAACGCUGAAGGCAUCUAAGCGUGAAGCCCCCCUCAAGAUGAGAUAUCCCCACGCAAGUGGUAAGACCCCUUGGAGAGUACGAGGUUGAUAGGCACAAGGUGUAAGAGUGGUAACAUUCUCAGCUGAUGUGUACUAAUAGGUCGAGGACUUAACCAA
rfam:Butyrivibrio fibrisolvens DSM 3071 genome assembly, contig: EJ22DRAFT_scaffold00079.79